GGCUCGAGGACGAACGCUGGCGGCGUGCCUAACACAUGCAAGUCGAGCGGGGACAUGCGACGGAUCGGAAGUUUCGGAUGGACGUGAAGAUGGUAUGUUCUAGCGGCGGACGGGUGAGUAACGCGUGAGCAACCUGUCCUUCACAGGGGGAUAACACAGCGAAAGUUGUACUAAUACCGCAUAAGACCACACCGGGGCAUCCCGGAGGGGUCAAAGGAGCAAUCCGGUGAAGGGUGGGCUCGCGUCCGAUUAGAUAGUUGGUGGGGUAACGGCCUACCAAGUCGACGAUCGGUAGCCGACCUGAGAGGGUGAUCGGCCACAUUGGGACUGAGACACGGCCCAAACUCCUACGGGAGGCAGCAGUGGGGAAUAUUGGGCAAAAUGGGGGAAACCCUGACCCAGCAACGCCGCGUGAGGGAAGAAGGUUUUCGGAUCGUAAACCUCUGUCCCAGGUGAAGAGGAAGAGACGGUAGCCUGGGAGGAGGCCCCGGCUAACUACGUGCCAGCCGCGGC
rnacentral:rRNA from 1 species